rnacentral:lncRNA from 1 species
AGUUGUUCACUAUGCUGUAAGGCUGUAAUUCCUUAACUAGAGUGUAGCUCAGGUGGCUCAGUGGGCAAAGGCUCUUGCCAAGCUUCGUGACCUGAGUUCAGUCCCUGGGAGCUACCUGCUGAAAGGAGCCACAUGACUCUCAUGGGUGGUUUUCUUACCUCUAUGUGUGCUUUGUGACACAUAUGCCUUCUUUGGCCCAUUAAAAAGAACAAGUGUGACUAGCGCCAUGCAUUGCUCCUGACCCAUGGGAGAAUGCCUUACUUUAGUACAUCAUUGGUUGAAUUAUGUGAUUUCUGGCCCACUCUCUCAAUAAAAGAAAUUAUAAUAAUCUUUACUAUAAUGAUGUCUUUAAGAUGUCUUAUAGGCUGGGUGUGGUGGUACAUACCUUCAAUCCCAGGACUCAGGAGGCAGAGACAGGCGGAUCUCUGUGAGUUCAAGGCCAGACUGGUCUACAGUGAGUUCCAAGACAGCCAGAACUACACAGAGAAACCCUGUCUUGAAAAGCCAAAAACAAAAACAAAAACAAACAAUAAAGCCCCUACAUAUUUUUAAUAUGUUAACUAAUUCUGAUGAUGUUUUUGUUUUUUAUGAUAGCUAAUUAUGAUAAUGUUUUAAGUAUUAAAAUGUUAAUAGAGUUAAUAUAACAUUGGGGGAAAGUUAAUUUUUACUAAUUAAUCAUUACUGCUGUUUCUCCAUCUUCCAAAAUGACACUUUCCAGAAGACUAUAUAUAGCAGGAUCACAGAAUAAAAUCAUGUGGAUUUAGGAAAGAAUUUUCCAACAACUUCAUUGAGUCAUAACUGACAUGAAACAGCUACUGUGUAUUUUAGUGUAUCUUUCUACUGAUACUCAUACAUGACCACAAGAUGGCCACUACGACCACAAGAUGGUCACCACAACAUAUCCUCCUCCCCUGUGUGUUUGCUGACCCUUCAAGUGUCAGGUGCAAUUUUUUAUUUUCUGACUAAAGCAAAUUCUCUCCAAUAAUAACUUCAUAGGGAAAAAGAAAGUUCUAGGCCAGGUAGUCUGAUGUAGAAUUUAUUCAGGCCUAAGUGGAACUUUCACAGUUGUGUAUGUUGAGAUUAGCGGUAGGGGCUGGAGGGAUGGCUCACUGCAGGAUAAGUGGCUUAGGGAUAAGAAUACUAUUUUACAGAGAACCUCUGGCUCCAGGACAACUCCUCCAGAAUUGUGGGCACCUGUAUGCACAUGUGCACAGACCCAUACUCAGGCACACACACAUACACUGAAUUAAAUGAUGAAAAUAAGGUUGGUUUGGUUGUUUCAUUAUUUUUUGUUUGUUUGUUUGUUUGUUUGUUUUAAGAAAAGUUUUUUUUUUAAAGAAAGAAAGAGAGGGAGGAAGAGAGAGAGAGAGAAGAAAGAGAGAAAAGAAAGAGAGAAAAGAAAGAAACCAGUAAGAACUGGAAGAUGGUGCAGGAAUUGAGUGCACUUGUUGGUCUUGUGUAGGACCCAGGUUCUAUCCCCAGCAACCAUAUUGUGGUUCACAAUUAUCUCUAACCCAGUACCUGAAGAUCCAUGCCUUUCUCUGACUUCUGAUUUCAUAAGGCACACAUAUGGUACACAUACAUACAUGAAGGCAAAACACUCACAUAAAAUAUGAUAAUCUAAGUUUUAAAACAUGAUGCUGCUAAGUUGGAGGAAAGGCACUUGGGUGUUGCCCGUGGCUUUAGCAGUACAGGCUUCUUGAUUUUCUCAAAGGCGCAGAGUGUUGCCUGUGACAUGUCUUAUCUUUUCAUUCCUUCAUGCAGGGGUCACAGUUAUUGAUAAACCGUUAUGAGCCUGAAGGACAUUUUCAGCGUAUCAUUCCAUGAGAACCAGGCGUCCACAAGUAUUUCUGAAGGGACUGAGCGCCUGGCCUCUCCACUUGUAGCCGCACUUUACGUCUCAGCAGAAGAUGAGACCAUCUGCCUUCAGAGGCCUCGGAUACUGAAGAUUAUUUUUGGUAGAAGCACUGUGUAGGCUUUCUCUGCACCGAGCAGCAGCUGACUGACUUUACAAGAGACCUAGACUGCAGUCCCUCCACUGUGGUCUUUAGGCAACAGUCGCUUUCAUAAAAACUAGUUCUUAUCAGCCUCGAAUGACUAUGGAUUAUUUUGUGAAAGAGAAUAAAGUUAACGUGUGUUCUUGUAAAAUUAAGUUUUAUCUUUAUUCUUUCUCCUGAAAAAUCUCCUGGGAACAGAGAAUCUUUGGAGCAGAUUAAAAUCUAUGUAAGUAUAUGACACUGUUGAGGGGUGAAACUGCUGGCUUUUAUAAGUAUCUUUGAUUACAUGACUAUAAUAAAUUGUGUGCAUAUAAAUGUGUGUCUAUAUGCUUUCCUUUAAAUAUGUUUGAAAAGAUGUUUGAUUAUCUAUUUAUAAUUGGCACAGUACUUUGAAUUAUGCCAGUACUACAUUGUAAAACAGAGUUGUAUUUUUUGAUAUUUAACAAUGCUGAACACUUUAAAAAACGCCACUUCUGAGGAAUGAAUGAACAUGGCGUAACACACUUUAAUAUGUGUGAUGCCAAACUUUUUUAAAUAAAAUAUAAAUUAUGCUUAUUUAUUAUUUUUUUCUUUAGUUUAAUCUUGAUCAUGUUUUGGUGUGUGUUUUUAAUUUUUUUUCUUAAAGUAACACUUUUGGCAUGAACAUACCUGCAGGUUUUUUGAUGAAUAUAAUGAAUGUGUGGAAUUCAACUGAAUUUGCAUGGUCUUAAGAAUUUUUUCUGUGUGUAUAAAUUUAGCUGCUAUUAAUGGAAGAGAAAGCUUUCUGUGACUAAUCAUGUGUAUUGAGCAGAUAGUUUUUCUGAGAUCUUCGAUUAAUCUCUUUAAAGAUGACCAACAUGUGUCUUUCUUGAAUUAUCUUUGAAUAAAAGUUUGUAUAUUAUUUGUUUCACAACGUCCUUGGUUUUACCAGUGUGACUUUUUGACUAUUCCUUUUGCAGACCUUGGGUUCUCUGACUUCAUACAUUGAUACCAUUAUUUUUCAUGUUUGGAACAAUUCUGUGUUUUCAUUUUUAUUUAUUUUUUGCUAAAGUAACUUGUACACUAAAUCUAUUAAAGAAAUAACC